AUGCCACUCCGAGAACAAUAUCCAGCCUUGUACAACAUCGCUCGCGAUAAGAAUACAACUAUUGCGCAGGUGCUCAGUUCAUUCCCACCCAAUAUUUUGUUUAGGCGGGAUUUGAUUGGCCCCCGUCUUACGUCAUGGCAUAAUCUUUUAUCCCGUCUGGAUUUUAUCAAUUUGACACAAGGUCGGGAUGUGUUUCGCUGGAACCUUACUGCAUCGGGGUCUUUCACAGUAGACUUUAUGUAUUGUGCGCUCACGCAUUCUGAGAUACCAGUGAGUAUAAACAGAGCUGGGUGUUGA
rnacentral:rRNA from 1 species